rnacentral:lncRNA from 1 species
UUAGGGUUGGCCCUGACCUAGUUUGACCAGUGUCCUUAUGAAAACGCAGAAGUUGGACAAAGACACACCCACAGGGAAAGCACCAUGAGAAGAUGACGGCAGAGAUCUGGGCGACGCGUCUACAAGCCAAGCGACACCAAAGGUGGCCAGCAGCCCAUGUGAAGCUGGAGGAGAGGCCUCGAAUAAAUGCUCCCUUACAGCGUUCAGGGGGAACUGACCCUGUCCACACCUUGACCUUGAACUUCUGGGCUCCAGAACUGUGAGACAGCAUGUUCUGUUGUUGAAGGAGCAGCGUGGCUAGAGGAAUUCCUGCAGCUUAGAUUUCGCUGGCACUGUUACCACUCCCAGAGAGGAGCGGCUGGAGUUCACGGCUGGUUCCUGACAAACUUCCUAAUUAAUCUGCUAAAGAUCAGAGGAGGACUAAUAGGAGCUGAAGACUGUGUGCGAGACCACCCCUCCGCCCUCUCCCUUUGUGUGUGCACGUGUGUGUGUGUGUGUGUGUGAGCGCGUGCGCGCAUGUGGUGCUGAGCUUGGCGGGAGAGAGAUGGCCUCACCAGCGACAAAGCAUUCCUGCUGCUGUUGCUGCCACCUACCUUCCCUGCUUUGGGAGGAUACAUUUUCUCCUCUUGCUUAGAAGUUUCAGGGAGUCACCCAAGCCUUCUUCUCCCAGAUACAACGGUGGAAUAAAAUAUCUUCCAGCCAACAUAUUUUUUGGAGACGGAAUCUCACUCUGUCACCUGGUUGAAGUGCAGCAGCGCGAUCAUGGCUCACUGCAACCUCUGCCUCCCGGUUUCAAGUGAUUCUCCUGCCUCCGCCUCCCGAGUAGCUGGGAUUACAGGCAUGUGCCACCCACCACGCCUGGGUAAUUUUUGUAUUUUUACUAGAGACAGGGUUUCACUAUGUGGGCUGGGCUGGUCUCAAACUCCUGACCUCUGGUGAUCUGCCCACUUCGGCCUCUCAAAGUGCUGGGAUUACAGGCAUGAGCCCCCGCACCCGGUUGCAACCAACUUUUUUGUGGAAUAUAGGAUCUUGAUGUUUGGAUGCCUGAAGGCAGAAGCUGUUGCACAUGGAAUGGAUUAAAGUUUUCCCCUCUGCAACCAAAAAUCCUUGGGGUCCCAGGAGCAAAAGAUGCUCCAUGGCACAGGACAAUUCAAGAAGGCCCGAGGUGAUAUUGAAGACUGCAGAGACAUCCAGCUCAGUUGUGUCUCCGGAGGUGUCCAGACUUUGCAGACAGACGUUGCACAUAAAGAGCUGAAAAACUGAGGAAGCUGAGCUGGAGAAGGAAGUCACUUCUACUCAGACUUGACCUGCGUCUGAUGCUAUGGGGCCUCUUAGGGUUACCUCAUGCUUCAUGCACCCCUUUCUCUGUUCUUCAGCAGAAGGCAGGGUGUAGGGAAGCGGGACUGUGCCUCCUUUCUCCCUGCCAGGCCUGACUCUCCAGGCCAAGAGACACCAUUAAGGAGUAUAAUUUGUUGAUCCAGGCUCUCCUUGCGUUUCAGUGCAGAGUGGCAUCGUUUUCUUUAUGACCUCGUAAAGUCACAGCCGAGAGGCCGAUUUGGAAAACAAACUGCCUCAGGUUGACAGAUAAUUAGAUACAGGGGACAUAUUAUAUGCCUUUGCAUAUAAAUGUGCUCCGAGGCGUGUUGGUUCAUCUGAAGUUGAGGUUAAAGGCGCGCCAGGUAUUCCUGACACAUCAGGAUAUAUAUUUUCAUACAGUCUCAGGUGCUGUGUUGGUUUUAUAGGCCUUUCAUCCUGGUGCUGACGGAUGGGGUGUGAUUGUGACCCAACUUAGAAGAAAGGGACUUCCCUUGCCCAGGGGCCUCCUGGCGUUUUUGUUUUGUGUUCUCCCUCUCCACCCCCACUUUCUCUUCUUCCUUGGGAAGGGAACUGUUCUUUGGACCUAGGAUUCUGCCGUGAGUGACUAAUGGCCUGAGUAGGAGGGACCGGGACUCAUUUUUCUUUUCUGGACUCUAAUAGGCCCAAUUAAUUCAGCUACAACAUGGGCCCUUACAAGCCUGGGACAAGCCUGGGUGGAAUUCUAUAUUGAGGGUAAGAAAAGGGAUGGAAGUAGAUGUUUUCCAGAAGGUUCUGUGGACUCUGGGGGUGACCUGUGGACAGCUGCUGCUGCCCACUACCUGGCAGUUUGGCUAUGUGAUACAUGUCAGCCUUACAAGGAGAUCCCCCUUACCCUGGAAUCUACUUUGGGGGAGCAGAACUUGAGCCUCAGGCAAAUCAGAGACGAGGGGGAAACUUUGCUUUUUCCUCCAGUGGCAGGGAGCUCUGGGCUGGGGAAAUGUCUUUUUGAACACAAAGUUCCAGUUGCAUUCAUCCACAGGAAAAUGUAAAGAGCUUAAUUUAAUGCCCUCUGGGAGUCAUUUCGAUUUAAAAGUGGUAUUAUAGCUUGUGGCUAGAAGAAUGGGCUUAACGGUUAGUCACCUUCUGUUUGGGCAUGUCAUUUAAUCUCUUUGAGGCUGUUUCUUCAUCUUAAAAUAUGAGUGAGAAGGUAGUACCCACCUUACAAUGUGGACAAGAUUAAUUUAGGGAAAACACGUAGCACAGGGCUUCACCCAUGGUAAGUAUUUCAUAAACGGUAACUAUUUUUAACAAUGACAAUUCACAGAGUUAAUCCUAAUAAAAAAUGAUUACAGAAGAGGACGCCUCCACCCACAGGAAGGAGCCAGCACGGUGGGGAGCUGUUUCACCAGGGGAGUGUUCUCAGCAGCUGCCACACGUGGAGUUGUGGAGGAUCUUGGCAGUGGACUGCCACGGGAGCUCUGGGGAAAAAGGACCAGUUGGACUCCAGUACCUCCUGAGAGACCACCACCCUCCAUGCCUCCAGCUCAUGCCCAGCUCUGAGUCAGACGGACUCUUCCUGUUGUACUGCGAGGUUCUGCAAACCUUGAAGGGCAAACACAGUGAGGGUCUCUGACUUGCUGUGUGGACAGCCCACUCUCUGACAGCCCAGAUCAUCUGAAGCUAUCCCUGGGCUGGGAGCUGGAAGCCAUUCUUGUGAACCACUCCUUAUACCUUGAGCGAAGCCUCUUUGGGUCCCAGAAGUCUGAAGCUCCAGCUGCCUGGCAAGACUGAGUCUAGAUGAUUUCUUGGGUACCAGUAGUUUGGCAUUUAAAAAUACUGGAUUAACUGCAGUGUAAACUUAGAUUGCAUUUCAGAUUGUAAACAAUAACCCCCGUGCUUCAUGUGAUGUUAAAUCAGAAAUGAGCUAUUAGCCAAGCUAGUCCUCUUAUGAAUGAGCCCCUAACCCUGAUCCAGGGAUCGUUGAAUGAAAAUCAUCAAAAUGAUUUAUCUUCACUUUACCUAUUGUCUCACAAGAAUCUCAUCACUCAGGGAAAAGGAGGGUGUUCUUCAGGGAACGGAGGGCAUGAGGAAGGGGGAUUUCCUUAUAUCUCAACUUUCAGAGGGAGCUGAGUUGUAAACAGAUGGAACAAGGUGUGUACGAGAAGCCUCUUAGAUUUAGUCUUUCAUAUCAAGGCUCUUGCUGAAAAUCCUGGCACAGCUGUGAAAUGAGGGGAGCUCUGACACACAGAGACACGCUCCUUGCCUCACCAACCUUCCCAUACACAGUCAUGCGCACAGAGAGCAGGUACCAAUACUGAAAAUGCCCUUCCGGAGUUUCCUCAGCUUAAACCCUUGACAGCAUUAAGUGAGGAAGGAGUUUCCUUGACCUGGGGAAGAAGAACCAACUCAUAAACAUGGAACUGUG